rnacentral:rRNA from 1 species
UACGAAGGGGGCUAGCGUUGCUCGGAAUUACUGGGCGUAAAGGGCGCGUAGGCGGCGCUGUUAGUCAGGCGUGAAAUUCCUGGGCUUAACCUGGGGACUGCGCUUGAUACGGCAGUGCUAGAGGGUGGAAGAGGGUCGCGGAAUUCCCAGUGUAGAGGUGAAAUUCGUAGAUAUUCGCAAGAACACCAGUGGCGAAGGCGGCUCACUGGCCCGGUACUGACGCUGAGGUGCGAAAGCGUGGGGAGCAAACAGG